CAAACAGUUUCAAUUUCCCAACGCCAACUUCAUUGAUGAUGGCACUGAGAUCACAGCAAACGUGACGUAUGUAUACAAAGAGGAAGAUGUCAACCACCCUAGUGGUUUUCUCCAGGAAGUCUUAAAAGUCUCAGGUCUCCUGACCACCACUGUUGCCCCAACAACAACUACCAACACCACACCACUUCCUACCCUUUUGACUUCAGUGACAUCAACAACUAGGUAAGCAAGAUAAUUUAUUAUAAUGUUUUCAUACAAUUCAAUUAACACUUUUUCAAUCAAGGAACCUUUGCAGCAAUGAACCAUGUAUAUCCAUGCUUGUGUCGUUAACUACUGAUGUUUUAAUUAAAAGCAUCCAAAAUGUCAACCUUUCUUUAGAAAAGCUCUUUGAGUGCAUCAGUCGGUCAAAAGGCGCAAUAUAAAUCCAAUCCAUUAUAAUUAAUGUGCUUGCUGAAGGCAAGACCACGAGA